rnacentral:rRNA from 1 species
UCGAGAAUUUUUCACAAUGGGGGAAACCCUGAUGGAGCGACGCCGCGUGGAGGAUGAAGGCCCUCGGGUCGUAAACUCCUGUCAUGCGGGAACAAGAAAGUGAUAGUACCGCAAGAGGAAGAGACGGCUAACUCUGUGCCAGCAGCCGCGGUAAUACAGAGGUCUCAAGCGUUGUUCGGAUUCAUUGGGCGUAAAGGGUGCGUAGGUGGCGGUGUAAGUCUAACGUGAAAUCUCGGGGCUCAACCUCGAAAUUGCGUCGGAUACUGCAUUGCUAGAGGAUUGUAGAGGAGAGUGGAAUUCAUGGUGUAGCAGUGAAAUGCGUAGAUAUCAUGAGGAAGACCAGUUGCGAAGGCGACUCUCUGGGCAACUCCUGACACUGAGGCACGAAGGCUAGGGGAGCAAACG